GCCGAAAUAGCUCAGUUGGGAGAGUGUUAGACUGAAGAUCUAAAGGAUUCUAUUUUAAAUUUGGCC
rnacentral:tRNA from 1 species